rnacentral:tRNA from 1 species
GCUCUUGUGGCAUAGUGGUAGCGUGUUGCACUUGUAAUGCAAAGGUCACUUAUUCGAACCGGGUUGGGAGCA